UGAGGUUGCAAAACAAGUAACUGUCAUGGGGCAAAAAUAGGCCAGGAAAGUUUAAACUAAAAGUUAAUGUAGAAACAUCACUUUAAGAAGCUAUGAUGUCUCCAGGUAGUGUGAAGAACAAGUUAUAGAAGUUUGGCAAGUCGUCCAUCCUAUGGCCAAGAAUAUGAUCCCCUUUCCUCGAUGCCCAAGAUCCCCUUUCCUCGAUGCCCAAAAGGUAGAUUUGGCACUGAAUUGUCUUUAUGCAAAUAAAGUGGCAGAGCAACAAGACAGAAUGAAUCCCAAUCUUCAACCAACAUUAAACUGUCAUUCUAGCUCUGGAUUACACAAUUUAGAUUAUUCUACAAGAAAAAGAAAAACAAAAAUAAAAGUUCUGGCAUAUUAUUUCUGUUCCACAAUGGAUCAUCUUGAGCAAAACUAGACUUUGGAGAAACCUGGCUAAAGAUAAAUAUCCAGAAAGUUUAUCAAAAGGAGGGAUCUAAGGAUCUUCAUGUUCUACUUUUUCUUUUACUUUGUUUUCCUGGUUAAUUUUAUCUCAAAACUUAAUUACAGAUAAUUUAUUUGUUCAAACACAGCUUUGUAUAGUUUAACAACAUACAAUUUUCUACUAAAAUGCUACAUUGGGAGUAUCUCAUUGGACGUAUUGUUUAACAAAUUAUUCACUUAAUACUCUCUAUAUUUGUUUAAAUAUACCCUGUGCAUUCACUCUAUCUCUCUUUUUACCUUUAUUAUUCCUUUUUUUGUUCAGGUUUAUCCAUUUCUACAAAUGUACCACUUGCCAUUCUCCAAUAUGUUUAUUUUCUCUUCCAUUUUUAAUACUAAUAUUGCUGCUAUAAGCUUUUUUUCUCCCUAAUAUGCCUUCUUUAUAAGCUUUGUGUGACCAGUGUCUGACUUUGAGAAAAUUUUUGAACUUUCUAUAUAGAUUUAUCAGAUAGCUCUGAGAGGCCUUAUGCUCACUUUUAAAUUUAAAUUGAUGCUGAUCCCCAACAUAAUUAGUCCUCAGAUCUACCUGACCUCCAAAUGUGUGCACAUGUGCAUAACAUAAUACCUACAUAUAUCAAGGACAGUAUAGCACAGGACACAUUGCCUGGGUCCAAAUCCUUGCUCUAUCAUUUAUGAGCUGAAUAAACUUGAACCAAUUGCUUCCUCUUUCCA
rnacentral:lncRNA from 1 species